UACGUAGGGUGCAAGCGUUAAUCGGAAUUACUGGGCGUAAAGCGUGCGCAGGCGGUUGUGCAAGACCGAUGUGAAAUCCCCGGGCUUAACCUGGGAACUGCAUUGGUGACUGGCGGGCUAGAGUGUGGCAGAGGGGGGUAGAAUUCCACGUGUAGCAGUGAAAUGCGUAGAGAUGUGGAGGAACACCGAUGGCGAAGGCAGCCCCCUGGGUUAACACUGACGCUCAGGCACGAAAGCGUGGGGAGCAAACAGG
rnacentral:rRNA from 1 species